AACCUUGGCAUCACCCUUGUAUGCAGUCUUUUUGAAACCAUACACUACAGGGUGAAUUGGCCUGAAACCAGUGACCUUUUAGUUGAGAAGUCUGUGCUGCUUUUUCUGCAGCAAUCUCCAUGACACAGAAGUCACAAAGCUAAGAUACUUUUCAGGACCCUGAGAGCCAGCUUCACCCAGAGAGGACCAACCCAAGCUGGUGAAGCCUGCAGACCCCUCAUCUGACCCCGCUCAGAAGGAAUCUGAAUGUCAGGUCAAUGACCUUUCUGAUGCCCUGGAACAAAAAUUCCUCAGGCAACAGAACCAAAAUGGCAGCUCCUGGAAGCAGAUAAAGAAACUGCAGCUCAAAGCACGUCAACUGUUUGUGUGAAGGAACGUGGACAAAUUUGAUUGGCUUUGGGAUUCCUCAUACACCAUAUGUACACAGUAAGGCUGUGUUGUGGAUGACAAUGAAGGCUGCUGAUAAUGUUGACUCACGAGAUUCCAAGAUGGAAAGCUGUUCUCACCUCAAGUUCCAGGAAAGUGAACUGUCCCUAAAGGCAGAAUUUCUAACCAUUUAGAUACUGCAUUACCUACAAUGAAAGGGGGGAAAAAAAUAAGAGGCUUAUGGUAAUUAGAAGUCAGAUUUCAGCUAUUGGUUUGUUUUUCUGUUUAAAAUGCAUCUUUUGGUCUUGUAGCCACCUGCGAGAUGUGAAAACCCUUCUCUAGCAGUGUGAAUACUUGCACCUUGCAAACAUGUAAAUUCUUAAGGGAUCUUAGUGGAAUUUCAUUUUCUAUAGCAGUUCACUUCUAAUUAUAAUUGGCCAGCUGGUAAAUUUCCCCAGAGAAUGCCUAAAACACAGACUUCUUAUCUGUAAUGGAAAUAUCACUUGUCCCUUUAUUCUCAUACUGUGUACUAGUACUGGGUGAGGUAGCCCAACUUAAGGAAAGAGAACAAGAAAGAAAUAGGAGAGACUGGUCAAGUCAGGGUAAAAUCUGCUUUUAAAAUGCAGAGCAUUUGUUUCUCCUACAGAUGUUUCUAUGUGGAGCCUCUAGGUUCUGGGCUCAUGCAUAGAUCAGGCUUUUGUUUCGUUUAUGUUUUUUUUUUAACCCCCUGAAAGCUUCUCUUGCAUUUUGACAUAUUCUGGAAUUCAAAGUACUGUUAAAAGAGAGAGAGACAGACUACCUUUUUUUUUGACAUCUUUUUAUUGGAAGGUUAAAGAUCUUUUCACCUAGUAAUUAAUUAGGCUUUGACAGGACCCCAGAGACAGGUCACUGUCGCACAGCAUUCAUAAUGGAUGUGACUUGGACAAAUAAAAAACAAAACAAAACAAAACUGCUUCCCUUAGGCCACAUAACAAGAUCUAGGUAGACAUGGGCCUACAACUAGAAAGGCCCAUCUUUUAUACUUACAAAAUAAAGGCAAGUCUAGGACAAAUGGAGUCAUAUCUUAUGAUUCUCAAACUGCAUCGUCUUUUCCAGAGCUACCCAACAUUUGUAAUUUCAGACUG